rnacentral:rRNA from 2 species
AGAUUAAGUUAUUAAGGGCGCACGGUGGAUGCCUUGGCACUAGAAGCCGAUGAAGGACGUUACUAACGACGAUAUGCUUUGGGGAGCUGUAAGUAAGCUUUGAUCCAGAGAUUUCCGAAUGGGGAAACCCAGCAUGAGUUAUGUCAUGUUAUCGAUAUGUGAAUACAUAGCAUAUCAGAAGGCACACCCGGAGAACUGAAACAUCUUAGUACCCGGAGGAAGAGAAAGAAAAUUCGAUUCCCUUAGUAGCGGCGAGCGAAACGGGAAGAGCCCAAACCAACAAGCUUGCUUGUUGGGGUUGUAGGACACUCUAUACGGAGUUACAAAGGACGACAUUAGACGAAUCAUCUGGAAAGAUGAAUCAAAGAAGGUAAUAAUCCUGUAGUCGAAAAUGUUGUCUCUCUUGAGUGGAUCCUGAGUACGACGGAGCACGUGAAAUUCCGUCGGAAUCUGGGAGGACCAUCUCCUAAGGCUAAAUACUCUCUAGUGACCGAUAGUGAACCAGUACCGUGAGGGAAAGGUGAAAAGCACCCCGGAAGGGGAGUGAAAUAGAACCUGAAACCGUGUGCUUACAAGUAGUCAGAGCCCGUUAAUGGGUGAUGGCGUGCCUUUUGUAGAAUGAACCGGCGAGUUACGAUUUGAUGCAAGGUUAAGCAGUAAAUGUGGAGCCGUAGCGAAAGCGAGUCUGAAUAGGGCGUUUAGUAUUUGGUCGUAGACCCGAAACCAGGUGAUCUACCCUUGGUCAGGUUGAAGUUCAGGUAACACUGAAUGGAGGACCGAACCGACUUACGUUGAAAAGUGAGCGGAUGAACUGAGGGUAGCGGAGAAAUUCCAAUCGAACCUGGAGAUAGCUGGUUCUCUCCGAAAUAGCUUUAGGGCUAGCCUCAAGUGAUGAUUAUUGGAGGUAGAGCACUGUUUGGACGAGGGGCCCCUCUCGGGUUACCGAAUUCAGACAAACUCCGAAUGCCAAUUAAUUUAACUUGGGAGUCAGAACAUGGGUGAUAAGGUCCGUGUUCGAAAGGGAAACAGCCCAGACCACCAGCUAAGGUCCCAAAAUAUAUGUUAAGUGGAAAAGGAUGUGGCGUUGCCCAGACAACUAGGAUGUUGGCUUAGAAGCAGCCAUCAUUUAAAGAGUGCGUAAUAGCUCACUAGUCGAGUGACACUGCGCCGAAAAUGUACCGGGGCUAAACAUAUUACCGAAGCUGUGGAUUGUCCUUUGGACAAUGGUAGGAGAGCGUUCUAAGGGCGUUGAAGCAUGAUCGUAAGGACAUGUGGAGCGCUUAGAAGUGAGAAUGCCGGUGUGAGUAGCGAAAGACGGGUGAGAAUCCCGUCCACCGAUUGACUAAGGUUUCCAGAGGAAGGCUCGUCCGCUCUGGGUUAGUCGGGUCCUAAGCUGAGGCCGACAGGCGUAGGCGAUGGAUAACAGGUUGAUAUUCCUGUACCACCUAUAAUCGUUUUAAUCGAUGGGGGACGCAGUAGGAUAGGCGAAGCGUGCGAUUGGAUUGCACGUCUAAGCAGUAAGGCUGAGUAUUAGGCAAAUCCGGUACUCGUUAAGGCUGAGCUGUGAUGGGGAGAAGACAUUGUGUCUUCGAGUCGUUGAUUUCACACUGCCGAGAAAAGCCUCUAGAUAGAAAAUAGGUGCCCGUACCGCAAACCGACACAGGUAGUCAAGAUGAGAAUUCUAAGGUGAGCGAGCGAACUCUCGUUAAGGAACUCGGCAAAAUGACCCCGUAACUUCGGGAGAAGGGGUGCUCUUUAGGGUUAACGCCCAGAAGAGCCGCAGUGAAUAGGCCCAAGCGACUGUUUAUCAAAAACACAGGUCUCUGCUAAACCGUAAGGUGAUGUAUAGGGGCUGACGCCUGCCCGGUGCUGGAAGGUUAAGAGGAGUGGUUAGCUUCUGCGAAGCUACGAAUCGAAGCCCCAGUAAACGGCGGCCGUAACUAUAACGGUCCUAAGGUAGCGAAAUUCCUUGUCGGGUAAGUUCCGACCCGCACGAAAGGCGUAACGAUUUGGGCACUGUCUCAACGAGAGACUCGGUGAAAUCAUAGUACCUGUGAAGAUGCAGGUUACCCGCGACAGGACGGAAAGACCCCGUGGAGCUUUACUGUAGCCUGAUAUUGAAAUUCGGCACAGCUUGUACAGGAUAGGUAGGAGCCUUUGAAACGUGAGCGCUAGCUUACGUGGAGGCGCUGGUGGGAUACUACCCUAGCUGUGUUGGCUUUCUAACCCGCACCACUUAUCGUGGUGGGAGACAGUGUCAGGCGGGCAGUUUGACUGGGGCGGUCGCCUCCUAAAAGGUAACGGAGGCGCUCAAAGGUUCCCUCAGAAUGGUUGGAAAUCAUUCAUAGAGUGUAAAGGCAUAAGGGAGCUUGACUGCGAGACCUACAAGUCGAGCAGGGUCGAAAGACGGACUUAGUGAUCCGGUGGUUCCGCAUGGAAGGGCCAUCGCUCAACGGAUAAAAGCUACCCCGGGGAUAACAGGCUUAUCUCCCCCAAGAGUUCACAUCGACGGGGAGGUUUGGCACCUCGAUGUCGGCUCAUCGCAUCCUGGGGCUGUAGUCGGUCCCAAGGGUUGGGCUGUUCGCCCAUUAAAGCGGUACGCGAGCUGGGUUCAGAACGUCGUGAGACAGUUCGGUCCCUAUCCGUCGUGGGCGUAGGAAAUUUGAGAGGAGCUGUCCUUAGUACGAGAGGACCGGGAUGGACAUACCUCUGGUGUACCAGUUGUCGUGCCAACGGCAUAGCUGGGUAGCUAUGUGUGGACGGGAUAAGUGCUGAAAGCAUCUAAGCAUGAAGCCCCCCUCAAGAUGAGAUUUCCCAACUUCGGUUAUAAGAUCCCUCAAAGAUGAUGAGGUUAAUAGGUUCGAGGUGGAAGCAUGGUGACAUGUGGAGCUGACGAAUACUAAUCGAUCGAAGACUUAAUCAAAUU